UUCUCCAUUCCAUGAAUGUGACAUUUGUGUUUACUUUGACAUUUAAAUUGGAGAAAAAUAAAAAAUUUUAACUCAAAAUAUGGCACUAAACUUCGAUACAUGGUCUGAGUGACAAGCAAAUUGCUUGUGUAAGGGGGUUCUCCUCUGUAACAAGUGCUUCAAUAUUAACACCGUUACUAGAAUGGAUAAAAUCAGGUAAGUAUGGACCAGAUCAGAAGACAACAGAUUCGACUCGCGAGAGAGAGGCGGUUUGCACAUGAAGAAUGAAGCACACGGAAGCAGGAUCUAUAUUUCAAAGGUCGAUCACAUGGGUGGCUCGCCAGUCCGCGCGCCGCUGUAGCUCUCCAGGGAAGGCAAGCAGGGCGGACGAAUCCAGGAUCCAGCACAGCAGUUCAAAUCCAACAACAAAAAAACAACUCCAACAAAAAAAAAAACCCGGC